rnacentral:rRNA from 1 species
AUUGAACGCUGGCGGCAUGCCUUACACAUGCAAGUCGAACGGUAACAGGUCUUCGGAUGCUGACGAGUGGCGAACGGGUGAGUAAUACAUCGGAACGUGCCUAGUAGUGGGGGAUAACUACUCGAAAGAGUGGCUAAUACCGCAUGAGAUCUACGGAUGAAAGCAGGGGAUCGCAAGACCUUGUGCUACUAGAGCGGCCGAUGGCAGAUUAGGUAGUUGGUGGGAUAAAAGCUUACCAAGCCGACGAUCUGUAGCUGGUCUGAGAGGACGAUCAGCCACACUGGGACUGGGACACGGCCCAGACUCCUACGGGAGGCAGCAGUGGGGAAUUUUGGACAAUGGGCGCAAGCCUGAUCCAGCAAUGCCGUGUGCAGGAUGAAGGCCUUCGGGUUGUAAACUGCUUUUGUACGGAACGAAAAGCCCUGGGUUAAUACCCUGGGGUCAUGACGGUACCGUAAGAAUAAGCACCGGCUAACUACGAGCCAGCCGCCGCAGUAAGAC